UACGUAGGGUGCAAGCGUUACUCGGAAUUACUGGGCGUAAAGCGUGCGCAGGCGGUUAUGCAAGACAGAUGUGAAAUCCCCGGGCUCAACCUGGGAACUGCAUUUGUGACUGCAUAGCUAGAGUGCGGCAGAGGGAGAUGGAAUUCCGCGUGUAGCAGUGAAAUGCGUAGAUAUGCGGAGGAACACCGAUGGCGAAGGCAAUCUCCUGGGCCUGCACUGACGCUCAUGCACGAAAGCGUGGGGAGCAAACAGG
rnacentral:rRNA from 1 species